rnacentral:rRNA from 1 species
GGUCUCAGGACUAGGCCAUGCACGUCUAGUACAAACUAAAUGAUGGUGAAACUGCAAAUGGCUCAUUACAACGGUUAUGAUGUACCCGGGAGUUCCGAUGGAUAUUUCCAGUAACACUAGAACUAAUACAUGUCCCUGCGUUUAUUAGUUUCGCACAGUCCGUCGCUGAGUCAUGGUAAACAGUUGAUCGACUCGACGUCCCGGAACAGUUUCCGCCCCAUCAGCUUCGAUGGUUGGGUAUUGGCCUACCAUUGCAACAACGGGUAACGAGGAAUUAGGGUUUGAUUUCGGAGAGGGAGCCUGAGAAACGGCUACCACAUCUACUGAUGGCAGCAGGCGCGCAAAUUACCCAAUGCAGACACUGUGAGGUAGUGACGAGAAAUAAUAAAGCGGGACUUCUGUUUCGCUAUUAUAAUGAGGAAUAACCAAAGGUCAUUCCGAUUAGCAACUGAUGGGAAAGUCUGGUGCCAGCAGCCGCGGUAAUACCAGCGUCAGUAGCA